AAGCCAUUUUUAGCUUGCUAAUUUUGGUGGAGGAGCGGCGUAAGGGAGAGUAACGGGUGGAUUAUCUGCCCUCGGGUCCGGGAUAGCUGCGGGAAACUGCAAGUAAUACCGGAUAACAUCUGCGGAUCGAAGGUGUGAUUCCGCCCGAGGAUGAGUCCGCCUCCUAUUAGCUUGUUGGUGGGGUAAUGGCCUACCAAGGCUACGAUGGGUACCGGGUGUGAGAGCAUGGCCCGGCUCACUGGGACUGAGACACUGCCCAGACACCUACGGGUGGCUGCAGUCGAGAAUCUUCGGCAAUGGGCGAAAGCCUGACCGAGCGAUGCCGCGUGCGGGAUGAAGGCCUUCGGGUUGUAAACCGCUGUCAGUAGGGAGGAAAUCUAUGAGGGUCAUCCCUCAUAGUUGACCUAUCUUCAGAGGAAGGACGGGCUAAGUUCGUGCCAGCAGCCGCGGUAAGACGAACCGUCCAAACGUUAUUCGGAAUCACUGGGCUUAAAGGGUGCGUAGGCGGCGCGGUAAGUCGGAUGUGAAAUCGUACAGCUCAACUGUACAACUGCGUCCGAGACUACCGUGCUUGAGGAAGGCAGAGGUGAGCGGAACUCAGGGUGGAGCGGUGAAAUGCGUUGAUAUCCUAGGGAACACCGGUGGCGAAGGCGGCUCACUGGGCCUUUUCUGACGCUGAGGCACGAAAGCUAGGGUAGCGAACAGGAUUAGAUACCCUGGUAGUCCUAGCUGUAAACGAUGAGCACUAGAUCGAGGAGACUCCCAUAUCUUCUCGGUCGUAGCGAAAGUGUUAAGUGCUCCGCCUGGGGAGUAUGGUCGCAAG
rnacentral:rRNA from 1 species